GGCCGCGUGGUGUAAUGGUUGCACACUCUCACAAAAAUCUCCUCUAUAUCUCUACUACUUCUUUCCCUGUUGAGAGAGGGGCGGGUUCGAUUCCUGCCGUGGCCA